rnacentral:rRNA from 1 species
UGGGGAACCUUGCGCAAUGGCCGAAAGGCUGACGCAGCGACGCCGCGUGUGGGCGGAAGCUCUUCGGGGUGUAAACCACUGUUGCCCGGGACGAACAGCACUAUUCGUAGUGCCUGACGGUACCGGGUGAGGCAGCACCGGCUAACUCUGUGCCAGCAGCCGCGGUAAUACAGAGGGUGCGAGCGUUGUCCGGAAUCACUGGGCGUAAAGGGCGCGUAGGUGGUGGCUUAAGCGUGCGGUGAAAGCUCGGAGCUCAACUCCGAGUCGGCCGUGCGAACUGGGCUCACUGGAGCAUAGUAGAGGCAGGUGGAAUUCCGGGUGUAGCGGUGGAAUGCGUAGAGAUCCGGAAGAACACCGGUGGCGAAGGCGGCCUGCUGGGCAGUUGCUGACACUGAGGCGCGACAGCGUGGGGAGCAAAC